rnacentral:rRNA from 1 species
AGCGAACGCUGGCGGCAGGCUUAACACAUGCAAGUCGAGCGGGCACUUCGGUGUCAGCGGCAGACGGGUGAGUAACACGUGGGGACGUACCCUUCGGUUCGGAAUAACGCUGGGAAACUAGCGCUAAUACCGGAUACGCCCUUUUGGGGAAAGGUUUACUGCCGAAGGAUCGGCCCGCGUCUGAUUAGCUAGUUGGUGGGGUAAUGGCCUACCAAGGCGACGAUCAGUAGCUGGUCUGAGAGGAUGAUCAGCCACACUGGGACUGAGACACGUCCCAGACUCCUACGGGAGGCAGCAGUGGGGAAUAUUGGACAAUGGGCGCAAGCCUGAUCCAGCCAUGCCGCGUGAGUGAUGAAGGCCUUAGGGUUGUAAAGCUCUUUUGUCCGGGACGAUAAUGACGGUACCGGAAGAAUAAGCCCCGGCUAACUUCGUG